GGAGGGUUAGUCUAAUGGUAAGGCACUGGUUUCGAAAACCAGCGGGAGAAAUCCCCUUACAGGUUCGAGUCCUGUACCCUCCGCCA
rnacentral:tRNA from 1 species